GGUCCCUGCCAAGAAAGCAAACCCGGGAACUCUUCAAACUCCCCGCUAACUUUUCUUUCUUUCUCUCUCUCCCCUCCCCCUUUUCCCCUUGCAAUUUGUCUUCACUCUCAACUGAUGCUCACUUUAGUCUAAUGCUAAGCGAGGGCCUUUUCCCGAAGGUCAUCUCUUCCCACCCAAGGGAGAAGCCUCCGUGGAGGUAAAUGAGAGGACAUUGAAAAAGGAUCCCAUCAGGAAUCCCAUCCUGCAUUUAGUCAUCAUGUCUCCUUGAGUUUCUCUUGGCUGUGACGGUCUCUCAGCCUUGCCUCUGGGGAUCAGUCCAAUGUUUUUCUCAUGAUCAGACUGGUGGUAUGGAUUUGGUGGAGGAUGACCCUAGACGUAAAGUGCUACUCUCAUCACAUCAUGCCAUAUUAGACACAGUGCAUAAUAUCAACAUAAUUAUUACUGUUGAUGUUGACCUGUAUACCCUGGCUGAAGCAGUGUUUGUCAGGUUUCUCCACCGUGCAUGUCACCACACAGGUCAGCCUUGCUCCCUCCUUUCCACGCUAAACCCUUUGGAAGGGAGUCACCAUUGCAUAGGUACUUAUGUGAAGGCAGUGAUGGACUUCCUCAAGGGCAUGUACUGCGCUAGUUUUGUGGCCUGUGUGCAUGUAUCUCCAUAUGCAGAGAGUGGAUUCUCCAUAUAACUCUGAUACGCUGUAGAUUUUAUAAAACACAACAAACUAUGA